GAUGAACGCUGGCGGCGUGCCUAAUACAUGCAAGUCGAGCGAACAGAUGAGGAGCUUGCUCCUCUGACGUUAGCGGCGGACGGGUGAGUAACACGUGGAUAACCUACCUAUAAGACUGGGAUAACUUCGGGAAACCGGAGCUAAUACCGGAUAAUAUCUUGAACCGCAUGGUUCAAUAGUGAAAGACGGUUUUGCUGUCACUUAUAGAUGGAUCCGCGCCGCAUUAGCUAGUUGGUAAGGUAACGGCUUACCAAGGCAACGAUGCGUAGCCGACCUGGGAGGGUGAUCGGCCACACUGGAACUGAGACACGGUCCAGACUCCUACGGGAGGCAGCAGUAGGGAAUCUUCCGCAAUGGGCGAAAGCCUGACGGAGCAACGCCGCGUGAGUGAUGAAGGUCUUCGGAUCGUAAAACUCUGUUAUUAGGGAAGAACAAAUGUGUAAGUAACUAUGCACGUCUUGACGGUACCUAAUCAGAAAGCCACGGCUAACUACGUG
rnacentral:rRNA from 1 species